CUGGCUGGAAUGGAAACUGAAGUCCUCUUUUUAUCCACAGGCCAGCUACAAUCAGGCAGCUGCAGUGCGAGCUUCCCCGCGUUGCCCAACCAAUGACCUCAACCCUGAUGUGGAGGGAGCACCCUCUUUAUGGGUGAGAGGUAGUUCAGUCUCCAUGCCAGCUCAAUCCUGGGCCUGU